CCCCAGACUCCUACGGGAGGCAGCAGUGGGGAAUAUUGCGCAAUGGGGGAAACCCUGAUGCAGCGACGCCGCGUGAGCGAAGAAGUAUUUCGGUAUGUAAAGCCCUAUCAGCAGGGAAGAAAUUGACGGUACCUGAGUAAGAAGCUCCGGCUAAAUACGUGCCAGCAGCCGCGGUAAUACGUAUGGAGCAAGCGUUAUCCGGAUUUACUGGGUGUAAAGGGAGCGCAGGCGGCCUUGCAAGUCUGAUGUGAAAGGCCGGGGCCCAACCCCGGGACUGCAUUGGAAACUGCGAGGCUGGAGUGUCGGAGAGGCAGGCGGAAUUCCUAGUGUAGCGGUGAAAUGCGUAGAUAUUAGGAGGAACACCAGUGGCGAAGGCGGCCUGCUGGACGACAACUGACGGUGAGGCGCGAAAGCGUGGGGAGCAAACAGGAUUAGAUACCCGGGUAAAA
rnacentral:rRNA from 1 species